CCCUUAGAUGUCCGGGGCCGCACGCGCGCUACACUGAAGGAAUCAGCGUGGCUUUCUCCCUGACUCGAAAGGGUUGGGAAACCCGUUGAAUCUCCUUCGUGAUAGGGAUUGGGGCUUGAAAUUGUUCCCCAUGAACGAGGAAUUCCCAGUAAGCGCGAGUCAUAAGCUCGCGUUGAUUACGUCCCUGCCCUUUGUACACACCGCCCGUCGCUCCUACUGAUUGAGUGUCUCGGUGAAUUCUUUGAUCUUCUGUCGAUUCAGUUCACUGAUCCGACGGUGGAAAGUUGAAUGAACUUCGUCACUUAGAGGAAGGAGAAGUCGUAACA
rnacentral:rRNA from 1 species